AGUGAACGCUGGCGGUAGGCCUAACACAUGCAAGUCGAACGGCAGCACAGUAAGAGCUUGCUCUUACGGGUGGCGAGUGGCGGACGUGUGAGGAAUACAUCGGAAUCUACUUUUUCGUGGGGGAUAACGUAGGGAAACUUACGCUAAUACCGCAUACGACCUACGGGUGAAAGCAGGGGAUCUUCGGACCUUGCGCGAUUGAAUGAGCCGAUGUCGGAUUAGCUAGUUGGCGGGGUAAAGGCCCACCAAGGCGACGAUCCGUAGCUGGUCUGAGAGGAUGAUAAGCAACCCUGGAACUGAGACACGGUCCAGACUCCUACGGGAGGCAGCAGUGGGGAAUAUUGGACAAUGGGCGCAAGCCUGAUCCAGCCAUACCGCGUGGGUGAAGAAGGCCUUCGGGUUGUAAAGCCCUUUUGUUGGGAAAGAAAAGCAGCAGGUUAAUACCCCGCUGUUCUGACGGUACCCAAAGAAUAAGCACCGGCUAACUUCGUG
rnacentral:rRNA from 1 species